rnacentral:lncRNA from 1 species
UUUUUUUUCUGUGAGGAAAACUGAUUUGGAGAUCUGAAGAUAAUCUACAGGAAACUUGCUCGACGUGGUGGUAGGUACACAAAGCUGAACUGAACGAGCUUAUUAACACGAGAUCCCGGAGUCCAUCUCGUGCUUAUCAGGGGCAGGGGCAACCAACCAGAAUACUGAUUUCAAACUUUGACACUGUAUCAUUUAAGCUACUACAAGAUGGAAGCUGGCUAAAACCGGCAGGUCAUUCCACAUGUUUGAGAUAGGACACAUCUUCUCUUACACUCCUGAUUGUGUCCAAUGUUUCAGCAUACUCUACUCAAGCAAUGGCCGACCCAGUCUGCAGUUUCGACGGUGGCAGAACCAGGAAUAGCAGGAGAUACAAAAUGUUCUGGUGCGUUGUUUAGGAAUUGCGGGUGAUGCAUGCAACCAAUAAUAUUGCAGGCACGAUGUGGAAGCCCGCAGCCUUUUCUGAACCUGUAAAAUCUGAAAGCAAGACACCAAGUAACUUGUAGUGCCAUCAGUAUGUUUGCAGUUCAGAGCCGCUAAUAUGCGUCUUCAGUUCAGAGCAUAUUAGCGGCUCGUCCGUUCGUUCGGGUUCAGAUGCAGCAAGCCGGAUUGCUUAUAUUGCAAAAAUUGAUAGUCGAAUGAUAAUUUAAGUUCAAAAAAUCAGAGCAUAAGAACACGCGGCUUGAAAAGGCAAGAAAUUUGAUAAUCUAAUCCAACAUUUGGUGCAACCACAUUCAAGAGGAAAGGCUCAGAUACAGGGAGAAUCGGGCAUUCAAAGGCACGUGUAUGAGAACUGGAACCAACAUUUUCAUUUCCAUUGCUGAUGGCAACAAGAAGGUACCAUCAGAUUAGGCAUACCACAUCCACCCACCAUGAGAGGAACAUGGAUCUAACACGACGCACAUUCUGAAACACUACGGAUUUUCCACCGAUGAACUCAGCCUAACAGGGAUCUACGUAUCUGACACGGCGCAUGGACAUGGAUUGCAGCAGCAGCCUAU